rnacentral:lncRNA from 1 species
UGCACAAGGAAGGUUUGUGGUGGAUCUGGGACCUUUUAACAUGCAGUUGUGUUUUUUUUCCCACACUGGUAUCCUACCUCCCCCACAGAGGCUGUUACUUUAUGUUAAAUAUUUAUGCUGUAGCGUCAUUCACUUAGGAUGUAACUCUGAUACCUAAUAUGCAAGCACUCCUUGAAAAAAUCUAUAUCCUGUACAAUAUUAAAUGUCUGUAUUUUGUUUGGUUCAGGUUCUCACACAAGUGUUAAAAGGAAUUUGAAGCUAUAAAUCACUGUCGGUCAGUCUUUACCUUAAGUGCUAACCACAUCCCUGAAUCAACAAUAUGUUUUCCUUCCUUUCCACAGAUGGGUUGAGCCUGUGGGUUCACCAUGCAUUAUUACACCUCAAAAUUCCAGCCGUGUUCACUGAUUGCAUCACCAAACACUAUUCAUUGCUGAGCUGAGGAACGUCUUCUCAGAUGAUUUGCAAUCACACAACUGAGAGUUUUUACUCUCCUAGCAGAGCCUGCUUUCAAACAGAAAACCCCAGCCCUGUUAAUAUAAUCCUAAUAGUUGAGGUCUGCUCCAUUUCCUUGAACUUUGAGCAUGAGGAACCUGCAUAUUCAGCUGUUGACUUGAGAUGAUAUGAAAAUGAGAUAGUGAAAAGCUUGGGAAUGUCACUUAUUAGUGCAGUCUUGCCACGCGGGUUCCCAGGGUGGUCUGUUCUCCCUUACAGAGCAAUUAGACUCCAAAUAAUUUUAAAUUACAGUUCAAAGCACUGCAGUGAGUUAGUGCUUUGAGGGAAGAGUGUGAAACACUGACUCAGCUUCAUGCAACAUACAGGUAUCUCUCAGAAGCAUCCCAAAUUAGAACUGGCUCUUUGCAAGGCAGUCUCCUCAAAGUAAACACAUUUUAGAAGGGUGAGUUGAAAAAGAUAAUGGCAAGACAUAGAGGAACAAGAUUAUCUCAGAGAAACGACCUUCCAAAGGAAGAAUGCUGGUUUGCAAGAAAUGAGUGUCUCAGAAGGAAUCUUCUUCCUGAACAGAGCAGGAACAUACACCAGAGACUUUAACUAAAGACAAACAGAUAGGCAAACAGCAGCUGUCCACCCACUAAUGGAGGAGA